rnacentral:rRNA from 1 species
ACAUCCAGCGAACUUGGCAGAGAUGCCUUGGUGCCUUCGGGAACGGCUGAGACAGGUGCUGCAUGGCUGUCGUCAGCUCGUGUUGUGAAAUGUUGGGUUAAGUCCCGNAACGAGCGCAACCCUUAUCCUUUGUUGCCAGCGAUUCGGUCGGGAACUCAAAGGAGACUGCCGGUGAUAAACCGGAGGAAGGUGGGGAUGACGUCAAGUCAUCAUGGCCCUUACGAGUAGGGCUACACACGUGCUACAAUGGCGCAUACAAAGAGAAGCGACCUCGCGAGAGCAAGCGGACCUCAUAAAGUGCGUCGUAGUCCGGAUCGGAGUCUGCAACUCGACUCCGUGAAGUCGGAAUCGCUAGUAAUCGUGGAUCAGAAUGCCACGGUGAAUACGUUCCCGGGCCUUGUACACACCGCCCGUCACACCAUGGGAGUGGGUUGCAAAAGAAGUAGGUAGCUUAACCUUCGGGAGGGCGCUUACCACUUUGUGAUUCAUGACUGGGGUGAAGUCGUAACAAGGUAGGCGUAGCGAG